rfam:Neosartorya udagawae DNA, contig:Aud0008, strain: IFM 46973.
AUGUAGCAUGACGGGUGUUCGAGGAUUGCUUCGGCAUGACUCGAUCUGAGAAAUACCGUUGAACUUGAUCUGGAUAAUACCAGCGAAAGGACAUGCUUCAUACUCUUU